rnacentral:lncRNA from 1 species
UGCACAGUAGAAUACAAAAAAAUACAAAUUCCAAUACAUUAGAGACUAUAUUUUUUUAUUCAUUAGUGUAUUAAAAAAUUUAUUUUUUUUUGUUAAUGAUAUCCUCAUUUUGUUAAAAUAGGGAUGCUCUAACUAGAGAAUUAUUAUUACACACACUCAGGUGAGGGUGCCCUCUUGCUUUUUUUGUACGGCCGCGUUAUUUAGCCAUAUGACUUUGUAGUUAAUUAGACAAUGACUUUAUUAAAUGACAUAGUUUAAUAGUGAACUAAAUAUUGAUUUUAUUAAAUCAUAUGACUUAAUAAUGUGUUCGCAUGAAAUAAAAUGAAGGUGCUUGCACCUAAAGAAAGAUAUAUAGUUUUAAGCCUCUUAAGCCUUGCGAUUUUAAAAUUUUUCUGAACUUUCCCUACACUUUAAAAGUCUAAAUUGGAACAUUUAUACACACACACAUAUAGGAUGGAUCAGCAAUCUCCUAAAAUAUAUUUAAUUUUACACUCAUUAUCAUUUAUUAGAUUGAAGAUAAAUGAAAAGAUCAUAUUUAUCAAAAUUAAAUAUUAAACAAAAAAUUUUCGCUCCAUGUGGAACCUACCACAAGCAUUAUCUUUUCAUUUUUCCUUUAACCCCAUGUUUUAAGCUUCUUAAAUCCCACGUUUUUUAAAUUUUUUCAGACUUUUCUCACACUUUAAAAUUCAUGUUUGAAACAUGAACAUUUAUAUUCAUGUUUGAAACAUUUAUACAGACACGCAUACACACACACAUAUCUAUAGGGUGGAUCAGCAGUCUCCUAAAAUAAUUUUUUUUCUAACUCCGUGUUGAACCUACCACAAGCAAUGUCCUUCCAUUUUUCCUUUAGCUUUUCACGUGCUCUCCCUCCCUCUCUCCUCGAUUUUUCAAUCACUACUUUUUGUUUGUCAAUCUCUUCCUCCAAAUUCGUCCAAAGUAAUUAACUCCAACCUAUAGAAAUUCUAUCCAAAGCCUAUUCACUAACUAGCAAGAAAUCCGCAACAGGAAGAUUAAACAAGUAGUUAAUUCUUCCUCAAAAGUUUAUUCGGUGGAUUUCUCACAAGAAGCAAAGAAAUAUUUUAAUUUAUUUGUUCUCACAGAUAUGUCUGAAAAGCAUUAAAAGAUUUAGUAUGUUUUCAUGUUUUUGUACCAUUAAUGCUAUUUAUUUUUCUUCAUUGUUUCGGUUUGCUUCCUGCUAUACGAGUAUGGAAUUUAAUCUACUACUAGAUUUGCUUUCCUGUUACGGGAGUAUGUUUGUCAAAGCGAUUGGGCACCAAGGUCAUUGACGAGGAAGAUUGAAGCAACCAGUUGGCUUAGUAGAAGAUUCCAAUUUGCAUAGAAUGAUAUUCACAGAAUAAUUAUAAAAAGCAUGACAAUACACCAAAUCUUCUAUGCUUUCACACAUACUCACAUUUUGUGAGACGAAUUCGGAGAGAAUAAAGAGAUUUGUAUCGAUUGUAUAUUAUAGGUUGUUGUUAAAAAAAAAAAUGAUUAUUUUGAAAAAUUAUCUUAAAUGAUGUGACAUUCAUCAAUUGGUUGGUGAGAUAAUAUAAUUAAUCCAUUCGAAUUUUGUAAAUAAUUAUCAACAACUUAAUGAAUGAUACAUUAUUUAAAAUAAAAUUUUGACAUAAAAAAUUUUUUUUAAAAAAGAGAGAGAACAUGUGCUAAUAAAGAAAGAAAAUAUAAGAAAGAGAUAUUUAGGUAGGAUCCAUAUGAAGAGAAAGCA